rnacentral:rRNA from 2 species
UGGGGAAUAUUGCACAAUGGAGGGAACUCUGAUGCAGCGACGCCGCGUGAACGAAGAAGGCUUUCGAGUCGUAAAGUUCUUUUAUAUGGGAAGAUAAUGACGGUACCAUAAGAAAAAGCCCCGGCUAACUACGUGCCAGCAGCCGCGGUAAUACGUAGGGGGCUAGCGUUGUCCGGAAUCACUGGGCGUAAAGGGUUCGCAGGCGGAAAUGCAAGUCAGGUGUAAAAGGCAGUAGCUUAACUACUGUAAGCAUUUGAAACUGCAUAUCUUGAGAAGAGUAGAGGUAAGUGGAAUUUUUAGUGUAGCGGUGAAAUGCGUAGAUAUUAAAAAGAAUACCGGUGGCGAAGGCGACUUACUGGGCACAUUCUGACGCUGAGGAACGAAAGCGUGGGUAGCAAACAGG